ACAUCCUCUGCUCAAGUGCUCAGCAUGGCAGUUUCAAUCUUAUACUGCGUUCAUGCGACAAACAACCGUAUAAGUCCAAAAAAAAAAAAAUAAAUUAGAUAACCAUGUGACUUGAAUGUAUGUGUGCCACUUUGUAUACAGAAUCACUUUGGGGGUGUGUUCGCGCGACCAAAACUCUGUAUAUAAAAUUUUAAAAUAGUCUCACACGGAAAAACCGUUUAUGUCCACUAACGAAAAAUGGAGACACCGGUUGCUUUCAUGUCCGCUGCGGACAUUAAAAGGCAAAACCUCGGCAAAUAGGAGAGUGAACAUGAAUGAAAGGACAGAGCAAGGAAGUCUUUGAGGGAUGCUGGGAAACCAUAUGUGAACCGGAGAGGAGAGCAAAAACGAGGAAAUAGUCCACCGAAAGAUGGCAAGGUGUGCAAUGAGACGUGUCCCAGGCAGUGUUCAAACCCAACAGAACAAAGAAAACUCCAGCUCUUCACAGAGUUUUAUGCUGUCUCUUAUGAGGCAGCAGGCUAUCAUUCUCUCUGGUUUGGAGCAGCACAAGGUGAGUCGCAGACGACCACGUGGACCUGACACUGAGAAUACUAAGAGGAAGUACACCUUCAAGUACCAUGUGCAACAAGGAGGCCAAAGACUUGCUGUUUGUAAGCUCACAUUUAUGUCAGUC